UGUAGUCCUCGUUCCGGAUAACAAGAUGCUUGACGAUGCUGUUCUUAGUGCCAUUUUUGGGCUUGUUUUGCUUAUAAUCUUGAAGCAGCAGUAUGACAACAACCUUGUUCUGCUAAUACUUCGUUUGUUGAGGAGGAGAAGAGAAGUAGAAGGUCGAAGAAGGGAGAUAGAUGACCAUGGUUUGGCGAAUGGAAACCGAUGAUGUAACCCAGAGGGAGCAUGGAAAUGGAAAAGAUAAUAGGGUCCAGGAUUGACCCCUGGGGGGGACACCAUAGGAGACAUUAGUGGGGGAAGAAACAGAGCCAGCUAUAGAUACAGAAGAGUAUCUGUUUAAAAGAGCGAUCUCCAUCCACCUGGGUCCAAAGUACAUCAAACUGCCCUUUACGGAGCCCGAGGCCGAGGAUCUGGUUGUGGGCUUCCAUCGUGAUCAUGACAUGCCACAAUGUUUUGGAGCCAUCGACGGUACCCAUAUCGAAAUCAAGCAGCCAUCCACCAACUCAAUGGACUAUAUCAACAGAAAAGGAAAAUAUCCCCCUUAAUGUACAGGCCGUCUGCAAUUACUAGUACUGAUUCAUGGAUGUCAUGUUUAAGUGGCCUGGGAGUGUGCAUGAUGCAUGGGUGUUUGGUAAUUCAAUCUAAACUUGUACUGAAAGACUGGAAAGAUCCCUGCUUUGAAAAAACAGAUUUUGGACAAUGAGGAGGCCAUACCAAUUUUUCUUCUUGGUGACCCCGCCUACCCGCUGCUGCCUUACCUGAUAAAAGAAUAUUCAAAUGGUGGCUCCACACCUCAGGAACAAUACUUUGGGCUAUGUUUGUGUAGGGCACGUAUGAUCAUUGAGUGUGCUUUUGGUCGGUUUAAGGCCAGAUUUGCUGCACUUAGAAGGCCUAUAAACAUCAACUUAGAUGACCUAUCCCAUGUCAUUUACUCCUGCUUUGUCCUCCACAAUUUUUGUGAGGCCAGUAAGGAGGCUGUGGAUGAUCACUCUGUGAUGGGAACAAUCCCAGGUGAAAAUGACUAACAGCCACCCACACAUUGCAAUAGAUAUGUCACUGACUGCAAUGAGGAGAGGGAAAGAGAGUGAGGAGAGUGCUCAUAGAGUACAUUGACCCUUCAAGACUGACUUAAAAGUUGAGUGGUUUUUUUGUAUUAAGAUCUGAUAAUGAAUAGAUCAUCAGAUCAAUAGUCUCUCCAGAGACUCCUUGCUCCCCAGAGACAGCCUGCAACCAGCCCACGGGUGAUACACACACACACACGCACGCACGCACACACGCACGCACACACACACACACACUCUAUCUCUCUCGCUCAAUCACUCACACAGACAGCCCCUGGAGUUUGCAGACACUAACCAAGUGGAGUUCACCGUUAGCACGGACAGCUGGGUAGUCAUCAGCACACUCAGGAUGGAGAAGGUCCAACUGCCUGACAUGAACUCCUAUCACUGUGCUGUGAUGUCUGAGGGUUGAGAGACUCUAUCCAAGGGAGAAAACAUCCAGCUGGAGGGCUUCUCUGCAGAAUGUCCUGCAAGGAGCACUACCUGGACUAAAGCUGCCUGUCCUCCUACUGUACAUCAAGACCAAGCCCCCCCAGCCCCGCAUCUCUGGCAGACAGCAUCAACCAUCACAGCCCCAGCACUUCCUCCCACUGACUCCUUGGGCUCCUACUCCACCAUGAACGGCAUCCGCUACUUUAUUUUUAUACAUGUUUGUGAACUCUUGUCAUCUAUAAAUAGCUUGUUCUGAAUUCUGAAGAAUAGAUUGUGGCUAUGUGAUACAGCAGAUACUGAGGGGAAAAGCUUUUCAAGUGAAAAUGGCUGCUGGCAAAGUAGAAACAUUUUGUCCACUAUCAAACAACCACCCAUGCCAGUACAGUAUUUGCAAUUGCAACAUUUUGCACUUUAAUAUUUGCACCAAAAAAGACAUUUUUCUCACAUUUUAAACACCUUUUGUUAGCAAAAAAAUGCUUGUUAUUUUGCUUAUGAAAUUUUCAAAGUUGCGAGUACAACCAAUGUACAAAGUGUGACAUGCUGCAACCACUUCCAGACCUCUUUCUUAGAAAAUAAGGUGCAACAAAUAAUAGGUGUGCAAAUGUAUCACAUUAAUCUGUCAUAAAGGACAGUUAAACAUCAAGAACAAGAAGAAAGAAGUGUGCAACGCAACCAAGUGAACUAAGCUCUGUGCUUUCUCACUCGUCUUCAAACAGUGCUUGUGUGUAUGAAAAUGAGGAUUUUGUUGAGUUUGCUGCUGUGGGGUGCCAUGUAUUGGUGUGUAUCCUCCAGAGUGGUUUGUUGUUCGCAUAGGUGUGCGAAUAAAGGUUGGUGUAGUGGGAUGUGGGCUCAAAUUCAUGAAUGCUGGUGAGUGUCCCUGGAACUGACCAUAUCCACCGCUGCUACUGUGGAGGUGUGCAACUUGAGUAGUAAGUACUCCGUCGUAAGUAAGUAGUAAUUGCCUGAACAGGGAAAAGCCAUCCUGAAUAGUGUUUGUAAUGUUGGCAAUGUUUGUAUUUAUCUGUUGCAUGUUGUCUGCGUUGCACCUGGUCGAUUCCUCCAUUAGCUCCAACAUCCUCUUUUUUUAUUUGUAUGUCUUCCUGUGCUGCAUGGUCAGCUGGAGGUUUUCUCUUUAGCCUGUCAUCACUUCUGUGACUGUUCAGCUUUGCCUUAAAUAAAACAGUGCAAAAUCACGUUAUUAUUUCACAAACCAAGACCAAGGUAUGUUUGUAAGGCACUAUUUUGGUCAGAAUGUCCCUGUCAGUUAACUGUCCUCACAUUAAAAUCUACUGUAUCAUAGCAUAUAGCAAGCCUGCUUAAAAUCAUGAACCUACGUACCUGGAACAUAUCUCUGCACUGCUUGACAACAGCAGGUGUCAGAGUCAGACUUAUACUGGAUUCGGUGGUGUGUGGGGAAUCGCUAGCAAACUCCGAAGUUUGAGAAGAACUUUGUCUGGAAGAUGAUUCUUCCAGGUCCCCCAUCUCAAAGCCAGCGUCGAUGGAGUGCAUAGCAGGCGAUCCACCCCAGACCUCUUCACACAGCUCGAAGAACAAGAGCACCACACGUCCUUGGCCACUCAGACGACCAGUGUCCACCGCCUGCCUGUAUUUGCCUCAGAUGUUCUUUAUCUUGGCGGUGACCUGGGCUUUAGUUAUGGUGUUAACGUCGUGGGGAGAUCCUUGUUUGUCGGGUGCCUAGGAUACUGCGCUAGAAAUGCAACCAUUAUAUCACUUUAUUUGGACUGGCAGGACUCCCAGUCAACAUUCUCCUGCAGUUUCGUAGUUUUGUAAUCAAGUGUGACCCUAAGUAGCAGCUCUACCUCGUCGUCAGUCCAUACAAAGUGGGCUCCUCUGGCAUUUGUAUUUUCCGCCAUCUUCUUCUUCGUGUUUGUUUACAUUGCACGAGUUAAAUGCGCAUGCGCCAUUUCUUAUUCUCUGUUUUUGGUGUACUUUGUGGCAGCAUUGCAGCGCCAUUUACAGGCCUUGCAUAUAUAUACUACGGCGUCAUGUUUAUGUACACAUACAGUAUCUUGAAACGAUUCUGUGUUUAUGGAAAAUUUUUAAAAAACAAAAUCGGUUCUGUCUUUGUGUGGAUAUGGCCUGAGGCUCCUGCUUGUCCGGCUUGACCUAGGUCGUUGCCAUGGAAACUCGACUUCAGAGGAGCUUCAAUUAAGGCUUUAGCUUACUGCUCCUAGUUAAGAUGUGAGACUGGUGUCACUGUAAUCAUGAAGAAAAGAAAAAACUAACUAGAACUUAUUGUGUACUGUUAGUUUUCAAACUCAGGCAGUGCAAAAAAAUACAAAAAAACAACUGUAAGCUUUUACUACAUGGGCUGCUUGAUCAAUUGAGUUAGACACUGAACUAAAUAUGAUUUCAUAUUAGGCAGUUCAGUUUUAUUUCUUUACCUGAAAAUGCAUUGAAAUGCAAAUUGUAUGCUUGACUUUCAAUUAAACUGCACUUCUAUAUCACAAUUUUGUUUUCUUGAGUGUUGUUUUCUUCUGAGAGUAGUCACCUGCAGGACUCAACC